rnacentral:rRNA from 1 species
UGAGGAAUAUUGGUCAAUGGGCGCAAGCCUGAACCAGCCAUGCCGCGUGCAGGAUGACGGUCCUAUGGAUUGUAAACUGCUUUUGUACAGGAAGAAACACUGGUUCGUGAACCAGCUUGACGGUACUGUAAGAAUAAGGAUCGGCUAACUCCGUGCCAGCAGCCGCGGUAAUACGGAGGAUCCAAGCGUUAUCCGGAAUCAUUGGGUUUAAAGGGUCCGUAGGCGGUUUUGUAAGUCAGUGGUGAAAGCCCAUCGCUCAACGGUGGAACGGCCAUUGAUACUGCAAGACUUGAAUUACUAGGAAGUAACUAGAAUAUGUAGUGUAGCGGUGAAAUGCUUAGAUAUUACAUGGAAUACCAAUUGCGAAGGCAGGUUACUACUAGUGGAUUGACGCUGAUGGACGAAAGCGUGGGGAGCGAACAGGAUUAGAUACCCUGGUAGUCCACGCCGUAAACGAUGGAUACUAGCUGUUCGAGAGCAAUCUU